UACGUAGGUGGCAAGCGUUGUUCGGAAUUACUGGGCGUAAAGCGCGUGUAGGCGGCUCUUCAAGUCAGACGUGAAAGCCCCGGGCUUAACUCGGGAACUGCGUUUGAUACUGUCGAGCUAGAGUGUGGAAGGGGCGAUUGGAAUUCCGUGUGUAGCGGUGAAUGCGUAGAUAUACGGAGGAACACCAGAGGCGAAGGCGGAUCGCUGGGCCAACACUGACGCUGAGACGCGAAAGCUAGGGGAGCAAACGGG
rnacentral:rRNA from 1 species